GACGAACGCUGGCGGCGUGCUUAACACAUGCAAGUCGAACGGAAAGGCCCUGCUUUUGUGGGGUGCUCGAGUGGCGAACGGGUGAGUAACAAGUGAGUAACCUGCCCUUGACUUUGGGAUAACUUCAGGAAACUGGGGCUAAUACCGGAUAGGAGCUCCUGCUGCAUGGUGGGGGUUGGAAAGUUUCGGCGGUUGGGGAUGGACUCGCGGCUUAUCAGCUUGUUGGUGGGGUAGUGGCUUACCAAGGCUUUGACGGGUAGCCGGCCUGAGAGGGUGACCGGCCACAUUGGGACUGAGAUACGGCCCAGACUCCUACGGGAGGCAGCAGUGGGGAAUAUUGCACAAUGGGCGGAAGCCUUAUGCAGCAACGCCGCGUGCGGGAUGACGGCCUUCGGGUUGUAAACCGCUUUCGCCUGUGACGAAGCGUGAGUGGCGGUAAUGGGUAAAGAAGCACCGGCUAACUACGUG
rnacentral:rRNA from 1 species